rnacentral:rRNA from 1 species
GACGAACGCUGGCGGCGUGCCUAAUACAUGCAAGUUGAGCGCUGAAGGUUGGUACUUGUACCAACUGGAUGAGCAGCGAACGGGUGAGUAACGCGUGGGGAAUCUGCCUUUGAGCGGGGGACAACAUUUGGAAACGAAUGCUAAUACCGCAUAAAAACUUUAAACACAAGUUUUAAGUUUGAAAGAUGCAAUUGCAUCACUCGAAGAUGAUCCCGCGUUGUAUUAGCUAGUUGGUGAGGUAAAGGCUCACCAAGGCGAUGAUACAUAGCCGACCUGAGAGGGUGAUCGGCCACAUUGGGACUGAGACACGGCCCAAACUCCUACGGGAGGCAGCAGUAGGGAAUCUUCGGCAAUGGACGAAAGUCUGACCGAGCAACGCCGCGUGAGUGAAGAAGGGUUUCGGAUCGUAAAACUCUGUUGGUAGAGAAGAACGUUGGUGAGAGUGGAAAGCUCAUCAAGUGACGGUAACUACCCAGAAAGGGACGGCUAACUACGUG